AAAUGCGAUAAGUAAUGUGAAUUGCAGAAUUCAGUGAAUCAUCGAAUCUUUGAACGCACCUUGCGCUCCUUGGUAUUCCGAGGAGCAUGCCUGUUUGAGUGUCAUGGAAUUCUCAACUCUAUUUGCUUUUGUGAAUAGAGCUUGGAUUUGGAGGUUUAUUGCUGGUACUUGUGAUCGGCUCCUCUUGAAUGCAUUAGCUCGAACCUUUGCGGAUCAGCUACCGGUGUGAUAAUUGUCUACGCCGUUGCAGUGAAGCAUAUCAAUGGGCUCGGCUUCCAAUCGUCCUUUACUGGACAAUGACUUUGACCUUUGACCUCAAAUCAGGUAGGAUUACCCGCUGAACUUAAGC
rnacentral:misc_RNA from 1 species